CUCGGCAACUCUCCCCUACCGCUCACUACAAGCCAUGCACUGAUUCUGUCUUUCUCUGGCCUCUUUUCAGAGGUUUCUUCACACACAAACACACACACUCUCUCUCUCUUAUCAACCUUUACAUCGCUCCUUUUGGUCUCUCCCUCCAAUCUCCGGCUUACCAAAUUCUCAUUUUCAGGUGAAUCCGUCAAUUCGCUUGGAUCAUUAGCUUGUUAAUUAGCCGCCUCCGGUAGCAAAGAGGAUAUACGCAAGCUACACUUGUUUGGUGUAUGAGAAAUUGGAUUCCUGGAAAUGGGUAGAGGUGUGAUUUUGGCUCCAGUAGAGACACAAGCGUCUUUGAAGAAGAAGACUGCGGUUUCUACGAGCUGGAUUUUGCUGGACCAAAGUGGCCAGGGUGCCAUCAUUGAUGUGGACAAGUACGCUAUUAUGCGUAGAGUCCAGAUUCACGCCAGAGAUCUUCGAAUUCUGGAUCCUCUUUUAUCUUAUCCUUCUACGAUUUUAGGCAGAGAAAGAGUUAUUGUUCUCAACUUGGAGCAUAUAAAAGCCAUAAUCACAGCAGAGGAGGUAUUGCUAAGAGACCCACUGGACGAUAAUGUAAUUCCUAUCGUUGAGGAACUUCAAAGACGAUUGCCCCUUUUAGAUAUCACAAGUCAAAUUCAAGGAGAAGAAGAAGAGCACCAGGGGGUGGGAAAAGAUGUUGACACAGGAGAAGAAAAUGAAUUUCCAUUUGAAUUUCGAGCAUUAGAAGUUGCACUGGAAGCCAUUUGUAGUUUUCUAGAUGCACGUACUCGAGAACUUGAGACCGAAGCUUAUCCUGCUUUAGAUGAGCUGACCUCAAAGAUUAGUAGUCGGAAUCUGGACCGGGUGCGUAAACUGAAGAGUUCCAUGACAAGGUUGACAAAUCGGGUUCAAAAGAUAAGGGAUGAACUUGAGCAGCUUCUAGAUGAUGAUGAUGACAUGGCUGACCUGUACUUAUCAAGAAAGUUAGUUGGCUCAGCUUCACCUGUCAGUGGCUCUAGUGUUCCCAAUUGGUUUCUUAGCUCUCCUACCAUAGGUUCAAAGAUAUCUAGAACAAGUAGGGCCAGUGCAAUAACAAUUCCAGGGGAAAAUGAUGUGGAGGACCUUGAAAUGUUGCUUGAGGCUUACUUCAUGCAGAUUGAUGGCACACUGAACAAAUUGACAACGGUAGGCUACUGCAGUUCUUUUGGCAGAAUAUUUCUAUUCUUGUAAGCUGCGUGAAUAUAUUGAUGACACAGAGGACUACAUCAAUAUCCAGCUUGAUAAUCAUCGGAAUCAACUCAUUCAGCUAGAGCUCUUCCUAUGUUCAGGGACUGUAUGUUUGUCCAUAUAUUCCUUGGUGGCAGCAAUUUUUGGCAUGAAUUUCCAAUACACAUGGAGAGAGGGUCAUAGCCACAUGUUUAAAUGGGUGGUCAUAGUCACAAGUAUAAUUUGUGCAACUCUUUUCGCAUUGAUAAUUUCAUAUGCUCGGCAGAAAGGUCUUGUUGGCUCUUGAAUCCAUAAAUUUAUAUAAAAUCAGUCAGAAGGACAAACCUUGAAAUAUUACUCCAGGUUGUUAAUUUACAUUGUAGUGGCUUUAGGGUUGCAUUCAACUACCUGAUCAUCAAAUCAAUUCAGGUAACAAAACCAAAUAAGUAGAAUGCUGUAUGUAUAUCAUUUUGAUGUAGAAAAUUUUAGAUUUUUUUUUUUUUUAUUGGGUUGGGGGUUCAUUCUGUAAAUAGCCAUGAAUUGGGCUAGAAAUUGCCAUCCAGCCAUUAGUAACUUCUGUAUAGCAGUGGGUUAAAGAUUCAAAGCAAGGUGGUUGAUUUUGAAGCUUUAGGGUUUUAAGGUUUUAGGUGUAACUAAAAUAUGGGACCAAGAGAUAUUAUUGUCUUGUAUGAUAUUGAUAAGGCAGGUAAGAUUGAAUUUAUAACAAGUAAUUGGAGCCUACUAGUGGGGCCAAUUCGAUGGAAGGACAGGCAUAUGUAGGCUGCCCUGCCCCGUCAAGCACUCUUGAAAUGAAAAGAGAGCACGCGGCUGUUGAUUGCUUUAGCAUCUGAUUAACUGGUUUAUCUAAAACAUGAGCAUUUUUUUCAACAAUUUGGAUGAUGUAACGUGAUGCUUGCAUUGGCUUUUAUAGAUUAAAAUAUCAUUUUAUAUAAA